GACGAACGCUGGCGGCGUGCUUAACACAUGCAAGUCGAACGGAAAGGCCCUGCUUUUGUGGGGUGCUCGAGUGGCGAACGGGUGAGUAACACGUGAGUAACCUGCCCUUGACUUUGGGAUAACUUCAGGAAACUGGGGCUAAUACCGGAUAGGAGCUCCUGCUGCAUGGUGGGGGUUGGAAAGUUUCGGCGGUUGGGGAUGGACUCGCGGCUUAUCAGCUUGUUGGUGGGGUAGUGGCUUACCAAGGCUUUGACGGGUAGCCGGCCUGAGAGGGUGACCGGCCACAUUGGGACUGAGAUACGGCCCAGACUCCACCGGGAGGCAGCAGAGGGGAAUAUUGCACAAUGGGCGGAAGCCGGAUGCAGCAACGCCGCGUGCGGGAUGACGGCCUUCGGGUUGUAAACCGCUUUCGCCUGUGACGAAGCGUGAGUGACGGUAAUGGGUAAAGAAGCACCGGCUAACUACGUG
rnacentral:rRNA from 1 species